rnacentral:rRNA from 1 species
AGCAGCCGCGGUAAUUCCAGCUCCAAUAGCGUAUAUUAAAGUUGUUGCAGUUAAAAAGCUCGUAGUUGAACUUCGGGAUUUGCCCAUUGGUCAGGCUUAACUGUCUGCACUGGUGUGACGAGUUCCUACCUUCUGAGGAAUCUCCAUGUCAUUCAGUUGGUGUGGGGGGAAAUCAGGACUGUUACUUUGAAAAAAUUAGAGUGUUUAAAGCAGGCAUCCGUCUGAAUACAUUAGCAUGGAAUAAUAAAAUAGGACGUUUGGUUCUAUUUUGUGGUUUCUAGGAUCACCGUAAUGAUUAAUAGGGAUAGUUGGGGGCAUUAGUAUUCAAUUGUCAGAGGUGAAAUUCUUGGAUUUAUUGAAGACUAACUACUGCGAAAGCAUUUGCCAA